rnacentral:tRNA from 1 species
AGUCUUAUAUUCAUUUAUGAUUUAAAAUUGCAAAUUUUAAGGAGCAAUAGAUAAUUGCUAAGGCUU